CCCCGUGCAUGAGUGGCGGACGGGUGAGUAACGCGUGGGCAACCUGCCCUGUACAGGGGGACAACACUUAGAAAUAGGUGCUAAUACCGCAUAACGGGGGGAGCCGCAUGGCACCCCCCUGAAAACUCCGGUGGUACAGGAUGGGCCCGCGUCUGAUUAGCUGGUUGGCAGGGUAACGGCCUACCAAGGCGACGAUCAGUAGCCGGCCUGAGAGGGCGGACGGCCACACUGGGACUGAGACACGGCCCAGACUCCUACGGGAGGCAGCAG
rnacentral:rRNA from 1 species